UACAGAGGUCCCAAGCGUUGUUCGGAUUCACUGGGCGUAAAGGGUGCGUAGGCGGUCGGGUAAGUCUGAUGUGAAAUCUCACAGCUUAACUGUGAAACUGCAUUGGAUACUAUCCGGCUCGAGGAAUGGAGGGGAGACUGGAAUACUUGGUGUAGCAGUGAAAUGCGUAGAUAUCAGGAGGAACACCGGUGGCGAAGGCGGCUAUCUGGACAGAGUCUGACGCUGAGGCGCGAAAGCUAGGGGAGCAAACAGG
rnacentral:rRNA from 1 species